AUGGAGUCACACACCUCUGUGUCAUAGUUCCACUAAUCAGGAGGUCUAGAAGGAGUCAUAGUAGCACUAAUCAGGAGGUCUAGAAGGAGUCAUAGUAGCACUAAUCAGGAGGUCUAGAAGGAGUCAUAGUUCCACUAAUCAGGAGGUCUAGAAGGAGUCAUAGUUCCACUAAUCAGGAGGUCUAGAAGGAGUCAUAGUUCCACUAAUCAGGAGGUCUAG